rnacentral:rRNA from 1 species
UACGUAGGGAGCAAGCGUUGUUCGGAUUUACUGGGCGUAAAGGGCGCGUAGGCGGCAAAUUAAGUCAGCUGUGAAAUCUCCGAGCUUAACUCGGAACUGUCAGCUGAUACUGGUCUGCUAGAGUGCGGAAGGGGCAAUCGGAAUUCUUGGUGUAGCGGUGAAAUGCGUAGAUAUCAAGAGGAACACCUGAGGUGAAGACGGGUUGCUGGGCCGACACUGACGCUGAGUGCGCGAAAGCCAGGGGAGCAAACGGG